rnacentral:rRNA from 1 species
GUGGGGAAUAUUGCACAAUGGGCGAAAGCCUGAUGCAGCAACGCCGCGUGAAGGAAGAAGGGUUUCGGCUCGUAAACUUCUAUCAAUAGGGAAGAAGAAAGUGACAGUACCUAAAUAAGAAGCCCCGGCUAACUACGUGCCAGCAGCCGCGGUAAUACGUAGGGGGCAAGCGUUAUCCGGAAUUACUGGGUGUAAAGGGUGAGUAGGCGGCAAAUUAAGUAAGAUGUGAAAGCCUGGGGCUUAACCGCAGGAUUGCAUUGUAAACUAAUUAGCUAGAGUACAGGAGAGGUAAGCGGAAUUCCUAGUGUAGCGGUGAAAUGCGUAGAUAUUAGGAAGAACACCGGUGGCGAAGGCGGCUUUCUGGACGAAAACUGACGCUGAGGCGCGAAAGCCAGGGGAGCGAACGGGAUUAGAAACCCGUGUAGUCC